rnacentral:lncRNA from 1 species
UUGAAGUUGAGGGUGAAAUGGGAAUGGAGAAAUGUCAAAGCUGGCUAAGUAGGUGCAAGGAAGGUGGCCAAGGCAACAAGGUUUUUUGUGAUUGGAGGAAGCCCUUAUGGGUGGCUACUUCUUAAAUAAAAGUUCUAUUCUGAAUCACUUAAUUAUAAGUUUUUGACAAUUCCAUAUAUUUCAUAUGGUUUUGUUUACCUUGUCCUUUUACUACCUGCCUUUUCUCCCCUUUUUCUUUUUCUAAAUCUAACGUUUCUGUCUAAAUUAAUGGCUCUCACUGUAUAAAACUGUCUUGUGCAAUUAUUAAUUCGAAUUUUCUUUUAUUUUGUUAGAGGGGGCCAGUUUUAAUAAUAAUUAUUAGAAUACGCUAAUUGGUGAAAAGCUUGAUCAGCACCUCAGCCAAAUUAGUUAUAGCCCGAAAAAAUAAAAAAGAUUCGGUGUGAUUCUUCACUUACACCAUUAGAAGUCCCUAUUUGACCACUUAUGCUCAUGAAAACGGUUGGCGAUACUCUAUUUUUUCUUAAAGAAAAUAUUAUUAUUGUUU